rnacentral:rRNA from 1 species
GGACCCGCACAAGCGGUGGAGUAUGUGGUUUAAUUCGAUGCAACACGAAGAACCUUACCAGGGUUUGAAAUCAUUUCAAAACUCCUUGAAAGAGGAGCCUCCUUCGGGAUGAAAUGACAGGUGGUGCAUGGCUGUCGUCAGCUCGUGUUGUGAAAUGUCGAGUUAAGUCUCGUAACGAGCGCAACCCAUGUCUCUUGUUGCUCACUGAGUGCUUAAGAGAGACUGCCGACCAACAUCGGAGGAAGGUGUGGAUGAUGUCAAGUCAGCAUGCCCCUUACAUCCUGGGCUACACACGUACUACAAUGGUACUUACAAUGGGAUGCAAAGAGGCGACUCUUAGCUAA